rnacentral:lncRNA from 1 species
GCCUGUGGACCUGGGGUGCUGAGGGAAUAGACUGAUGCAGUAGAGUCUUGCGGUGGGGCAUGGAGGGGAGUGUGGAUGACACCCAAACCUACUCUGUGAUGAUGGCAGAAGGCAUGAAGGCCCCUCCCCACUCAUGACGCCCCAGCAGGCGGCUUCGAAGGCCUCACGCUGCUCAGACAGGGGCGUGGGGGGUACACCUCCAGCAGCUGGGCUCAUGACCAUGCCUUCAGUGCAGAGUCUGAGAUUGGAAAUCACUGUUAGAAGAGUACAAAGAAGAAAACCACAAAGACUUGGCUGAUGGGGUCGUAAGGCCACAGGAAAUGGAACAGAACUACAGCCUGCCAGAGCAGGAAGGAACCUUCU